GGGGAAUAUUGCGCAAUGGGGGAAACCCUGACGCAGCAACGCCGCGUGAAGGAUGAAGGUUUUCGGAUUGUAAACUUCUUUGACGAGGGACGAUAAUGACGGUACCUCGAAAACAAGCCACGGCUAACUACGUGCCAGCAGCCGCGGUAAUACGUAGGUGGCAAGCGUUGUCCGGAUUUACUGGGUGUAAAGGGCGAGUAGGCGGGACGGAAAGUCAGUAGUGAAAUACCGAGGCUUAACUUCGGGGCUGCUAUUGAAACUUCUGUUCUUGAGUGAUGGAGAGGCAGGCGGAAUUCCCGGUGUAGCGGUGAAAUGCGUAGAGAUCGGGAGGAACACCAGUGGCGAAGGCGGCCUGCUGGACAUUAACUGACGCUGAGGCGCGAAAGCGUGGGGAGCAAAC
rnacentral:rRNA from 1 species